AUGUACACCCUCAAACCAAUUAAACACCUGCAUCAAUCAAAGUGUCUUUGUAUGGCGGAUUUUACACAUACAUUUGUCAUAGGACUUUCCACAAGAAACCCUGACUCAGACCACCAACUCUCCCCAGAAACCCAGACUCAGACCACCAACUCUCCCCAGAACCCCAGACUCAGACCACCAACUCCCCCAGAACCCCAGACUCAGACCACCAACUCCCCCAGAACCCGACUCAGACCACCAACUCUCCCCAGAACCCCAGACUCAGACCACCAACUCUCCCCAGAAACCCAGACUCAGACCACCAACUCUCCCCAGAACCCCAGACUCAGACCACCAACUCUCCCCAGAAACCCAGACUCAGACCACCAACUCUCCCCAGAACCCCAGACUCAGACCACCAACUCCCCCAGAACCCCAGACUCAGACCACCAACUCCCCCAGAACCCGACUCAGACCACCAACUCUCCCCAGAACCCCAGACUCAGACCACCAACUCCCCCAGACUCAGACCACCAACUCCCCCAGAACCCCAGACUCAGACCACCAACUCCCCCAGAAACCCUGACUCAGACCACCAACUCCCCCCAGAACCCGACUCAGACCACCAACUCCCCCAGAAACCCUGACUCAGACCACCAACUCCCCCAGAACCCCAGACUCAGACCACCAACUCCCCCAGAACCCGACUCAGACCACCAACUCUCCCCAGAACCCCAGAACCCCAGACUCAGACCACCAACUCCCCCAGACUCAGACCACCAACUCCCCCAGAACCCCAGACUCAGACCACCAACUCCCCCAGAAACCCUGACUCAGACCACCAACUCCCCCAGAAACCCUGACUCAGACCAACUCCCCCAGAACCCCAGACUCAGACCACCAACUCCCCCAGAACCCCAGACUCAGACCACCAACUCCCCCAGAAGCAGCAGUCCUGCGCUAGAGACCCAUAAAACCAAGUCCAUCAACAUUUACAGCAAGCUGUUCAAAGGCAGAGUGAGGGUUCGUUCCACACCAUAA
rnacentral:lncRNA from 1 species